rnacentral:sRNA from 1 species
UUGCACUAGCGAUUGAAACGGCAUCCUUUUUAGAGGCACGAGAAAAAGAUACAGUGUAAAGCGCGGUACUGC